rnacentral:rRNA from 1 species
UACGGGGGAGCAAGCGUUGUUCGGAUUUACUGGGCGUAAAGGGCGGGUAGGCGGCCACCGCAAGUCGACUGUGAAAUCUCCGGGCUUAACUCGGAAAGGUCAGCCGAUACUGCGGGGCUAGAGUGCAGAAGGGGCAACUGGAAUUCUCGGUGUAGCGGUGAAAUGCGUAGAUAUCGAGAGGAACACCUGCGGCGAAGGCGGGUUGCUGGGCUGACACUGACGCUGAACUGCGAAAGCUAGGGGAGCGAACGGG